UUAAUAUACACCUUAUAUUUUCUACACACACCCCACAUUUCUCAAAUCUUAUAACACUCAUUUUUUAUUUUGCCGAAUGAUUUCAAACUAUCUGAACAUUAGUUUGCCGAAUGAUUUCAAAAAAAUGUUUAGGUUCAUUUGAACAUUUUUCAAUAACAAUAAUAAUGAUUUCAAAGCUUUCGAAACAUCAAUUUCGUGUUCCAUUCGUCAAAAAUUAUUUUUCUCAAUCAACAUGUUUGUAGUUUCAUUGCUUUGGGUUUUAGGGAUUCUAAAAUGGAAUUAGAAUUUUCGAUUUGGGAUUUUUGAAAAUCGGAUUAGGCUUUUCGAUUUAGGGAUUUUAAAAUUUAGUGUCUUCAAUUUGGGGGUUCUAAAAUCGAAUUAUGGUUUUUAAUUUUGUUUGUACCAUAUUUAGGGCCUCUGUAUUUAGAUCUCGUAUAAAUACUCGAGUGACUCAAAUGUAAUUACGUAAUAAAUGAAGGGGCAGAUAUGUAAUAAGUAAGGAGCUCUUAUUCUAUACAAUGACUCAUCACUCUCC
rnacentral:lncRNA from 1 species